AGUCGUUCGUCUGUGUGAGCUCUACUACUUAGUAUUGUUUUUGGAGGAUCGUGAGAUUAACACAGUGCCGGCAGUUUCUUUGAGCGUUGAUUUUCAAUGUCUAAGAAACCAGGAGGGCCCGGAAGAAGCCGGGCCAUCAAUAUGCUGAAAC
rfam:Tsutu virus strain TST-BE-Richelle/2017 polyprotein gene, complete cds